GGACUCACAGAGCCUCCCAUUCUGUGGCCAUCACUGAGCACACAACACUCAGCAUGGAGAUGAAACUGACCUUGGUUUUCCUUGUUGCUCUUUUCAAAGAUGUCCAUUGUGAGGUGCAGCUUGUGGAGUCCGGGGGAGGCUUGGUGCAGCCUGGAAAGUCCCUGAAACUCUCCUGUGUAGCCUCUGGAUUCAAAUUCAGUGACUAUUGGAUGCACUGGGUCCGCCAGGCUCCAGGGAAGGGGCUGGAGUGGGUUGGUAUAAUUAAACACAAACCUGAUAAUUAUGAAACAAUCUAUGCGGAGUCUGUGAAAGGCAGAUUCACCAUCUCAAGAGACGACUCCAAAAGCACCAUGUACCUGCAAAUGAACAACUUAAGAGCCGAAGACACCGCCAUGUAUUACUGUAGUAGACACACAGUGAGAGGACUUCAGCAUGAACCCUGA